rnacentral:rRNA from 1 species
GACGAACGCUGGCGGCGCGCCUAACACGUGCAAGUCGAACGGAGUCAAGAGGAGCUUGCUUUUCUUGACUUAGUGGCGAACGGGUGAGUAACGCGUGAGUAACCUGCCCUGGAGUGGGGGACAACAGUUGGAAACGACUGCUAAUACCGCAUAAGCCCACGGAUCCGCAUGGAUCUGCGGGAAAAGGAUUUAUUCGCUUCAGGAUGGACUCGCGUCCAAUUAGCUAGUUGGUGAGGUAACGGCCCACCAAGGCGACGAUUGGUAGCCGGACUGAGAGGUUGAACGGCCACAUUGGGACUGAGACACGGCCCAGACUCCUACGGGAGGCAGCAGUGGGGGAUAUUGCACAAUGGGGGAAACCCUGAUGCAGCGACGCCGCGUGGAGGAAGAAGGUUUUCGGAUUGUAAACUCCUGUCGUUAGGGACGAUAAUGACGGUACCUAACAAGAAAGCACCGGCUAACUACGUG